CCUACGGGAGGCAGCAGUAGGGAAUCUUCCACAAUGGGCGAAAGCCUGAUGGAGCAACGCCGCGUGGGUGAAGAAGGUCUUCGGAUCGUAAAACCCUGUUGUUAGAGAAGAAAGUGCGUGAGAGUAACUGUUCACGUUUCGACGGUAUCUAACCAGAAAGCCACGGCUAACUACGUGCCAGCAGCCGCGGUAAUACGUAGGUGGCAAGCGUUAUCCGGAUUUAUUGGGCGUAAAGGGAACGCAGGCGGUCUUUUAAGUCUGAUGUGAAAGCCUUCGGCUUAACCGGAGUAGUGCAUUGGAAACUGGGAGACGUGAGUGCAGAAGAGGAAAGUGGAACUCCAUGUGUAGCGGUGAAAUGCGUAGAUAUAUGGAAGAACACCAGUGGCGAAAGCGGCUCUCUGGUCUGUAACUGACACUGAGGUUCGAAAGCGUGGGUAGCAAACAGGAUUAGAUACCCCUGUAGUC
rnacentral:rRNA from 1 species